ensembl:snoRNA SNORD14 Small nucleolar RNA SNORD14
UCACUGUGAUGAUGGAUUCCAAAACCAUUUGUAGUUUCCACCAGAAAUUUUGUGUUGGCCAAUUCCUUCCUUGGAUGUCUGAGUGA